rnacentral:misc_RNA from 1 species
AAGGAUCAUUAACAAUUCCAUUCUAAAUUAACCUUUGUGAACCGACCUCUAGCUGGGUUGAGACUUUGGUCUCUUAAAAGUCCUGCGGAGGAAAAGUGUCAGUGGCCGGUCCAUGCGGCUAGCUGCCGACACUUACAUAGACUAUUUUUGUAUGACUAAAAAGUAUUAUUUUAAACAAAUACAACUUUUAACAGUGGAUCUCUUGGCUCCU